GGGGUCGACUGGUAUUGACAGCGAGAUCAAUAAUAUAAUAAGCAUGUCGAGCGAUGAUGUAUGGCUCGUAAAUAUCUACAUCACACUUUUUAAACGGCGAGAAUAACUACGCUUUAGCUGCUUAAUCCGAAUCACAGUAGGAUUAGCCUCGGUACACAAGGUGUACAAGCUGAAUGUCUGCUGAAAGCCUUGGUUAACGGCGUUCUUCCUGGUGCAAAUCAGGAUACAGGCAUCGUAAAAGUUAACAUAGGAAUAAUAGUACUUCGUUAUUAUUUCAACAAUUCAAGAAGAUAAGGGUAAUACUGGCUGUUUUCGGUCUAUUAUUAUCACGAAAACUAAACGAAAACUAAACAUGUAGAAAACUAUAUUAUUGCUUGUUUGGACCCGAGUUCGAUUCUCGGCGACUCCACUU
rnacentral:tmRNA from 1 species